UACGUAGGGGGCGAGCGUUGUCCGGAUUUAUUGGGCGUAAAGGGCGCGUAGGCGGCUUUUCAAGUGACGGGUGAAAGCCCUCGGCUUAACCGAGGAACUGCCUGUCAGACUGGAAGGCUUGAGACCGGGAGAGGUGAGUGGAAUUCCCAGUGUAGCGGUGAAAUGCGUAGAUAUUGGGAGGAACACCAGUGGCGAAGGCGGCUCACUGGACCGGAACUGACGCUGAGGCGCGAAAGCGUGGGGAGCAAACAGG
rnacentral:rRNA from 1 species